CUUGAUGUAAUGUUUCUCAGCUGGUCUAAGGAAAAGCCGAGGGAACAAAUGGUGCUUAUGUGGUGUUUGGCAUGGAUGUGUCUCAUCGUUGUAGGCACUGUUUCUCCAGUGAGUGCUGCACAGAACCUGCCUCAGUGCAUGGAGGGGGAUUACUACUUUGAGUACACAGAAUGUGACAGCAGUGGCUCCAGAUGGAGAGUGGCCAUUCCUCUGAGGCCAGGCGAGUGCAAGGGACUGCCAAACCCUGUGCAAGGCACUGACUGCACGUUCUCGUGUGGAGCUGGGGAGUUUUUGGAGAUGUCGUCACAAGAGUGCACUCAGUGUGCAGCUGGGUCCUUUUCUCUUGGCAGUGGUAUCCGCUUUGAUGAGUGGGAUGACAUUCCCCCUGGAUUCAGUAGCCUGGUGACGUCUCUUGAUAACGCACCAAACAGACACGGGCCAAGCUGUAACGGCUCCUCAUGGCUCGCCCGUGGUAGUUAUGUGGAGUCGAAUCAAGAUGAGUGUAGUGUCUCUCUCGUCUACGCCGUUCAUCUUAAGAAGCCAGGCUCUGUCUCCUUUGACUAUCAGUAUGUGGACAACAACAUCUUCUUUGAGUUCUUUAUUCAGAAUGACCAGUGUCAAGAAAUGGACAAGACUUCUGAUAAGAAAUGGAUGAAACUGACAAACAAUGGAAUGUGGGCCAAACACACGGUCACGUUGAAAUCUGGUACAAAUGUGCUGUACUGGAGAACCACAGGAGUUACUGUGGGGGCAAAAAUAGUCAAACCAGUGCUGCUGAGGAACAUCCAGAUAGAAGGUGUGGCUUACAUGUCAGAGUGCUUGCCCUGUAAGCCAGGCACAUUCAGUAACACUCCCGGCUCUUCGUCGUGUGAUCCCUGCCCCAGAAACACGUACUCAGGCAGAGGUGCCAGCUCCUGUACUCCCUGCAAUGCGGACACACACUACGCAUUGGAGGGCUCUACAGAGUGUAAGCCCAGACCUGCAUGCUCAGAGAAGGACUACUUCCAAAUCCACAGUGUUUGUGAUAAAGAGGGCAAGACACAGGUUAUGUAUAAAUGGAUCGAGCCGAAGAUUUGUCUGGAAGACUCUCCUGAUGCUGUAACGCUGCCCCCUUCUGGUAAACGUGAGCCGUGCCCACCCUGCAACCCUGGCUUUUAUAACAACAACACUGCUACUUGCUUUCCUUGCCCACAAGGAACCUACUCAGAAGGCCUCAAAGCAUGCCAGCCUUGUCCUGCGGGCACAGAGCCAGCCCUGGGCUAUGAGUAUAAGUGGUGGAACGUACUGCCUUCUGGCAUGAAGUCGCAGUGCUUCAAUGUGGCCAAUACCAAGUGUGACGGCAUGAAUGGUUGGGAGGUGGCAGGAGAUCACAUUCAUUCUGGAGCUGGAGGUUCAGAUAAUGAUUACCUCAUCCUAAACCUUAAAGUGCCUGGAUUCAGGUUACCAACAUCCGUUAGUGGAACCAGUGCAACCGAGUUUGGACGCAUCACCUUCGUGUUUGAAACCAUAUGUUCAGCUGAUUGUCAGCUUUACUUCAUGAUGGACACAGACAGAUGGCGCACCAAAGUGGUGGAAUUGUGGGAAGGCAGUAAGGAGAAGCAGUCCUACACGCACAUCAUGACUAAGAAUGCAUCUGUGUCUUACACAUGGGCUUUUCAACGCAGUAACCAGGCUAGAGAUGGGCAUCAGUAUGUCAAAGACAUGGCGAAGAUCUACUCAAUUACCGUAACGAACGCUCUGGACGGUGUAGCCUGGGCAUGCAGGGCAUGUGCUAUUGAGUCUCAACAGCCUGGCUCGGCCUGUGUGCCAUGUCCUGCCGGCUAUUAUAUAGACAAGGAAACCAAUCAAUGCCAAGAAUGCCCACCCAACACCUUCCUCUCAGGACACCACAUCUAUGGCCGAGACGCAUGCCAGCCUUGUGGACCAGGUGGCCGCAGCAACAAGGAACACAGCUUGUGCUACAGUGACUGUUUGUUCACACACACGGAGCACAACCGAACUCUACAGUAUGAUUUCAGUCCUCUGGGCUCCAUCGGCUCUGUCACAAACGACCCCAGUUUCACUUCCAAGGGCACCAAGUACUACCAUCUCUUCAACAUUAGCUUGUGUGGGACACAGGGUCACAGGCCAGCGAUCUGUACAGAUAAUAUUACAGAGCCAUCUGAUAAAGAUCUUCACAGUGGUGAGGGCAACUAUGUAGAAACUUUUAUCUGUCAAUCAACUAUUAUUCCUUCUGAUGGGCGGGGCUUGAAGACAACUUUUGCCUCACAGUCGAUCAGUCUGGCAGACACGUUUCUUGGAGCCACAGUGGAGAAAUCACUCAACGGAGUAAAUCCUAGACCAGAACUCUUUGCCGCUUCAUCCAAGAGAGUCCCAGAUGUCACCUACUUUUAUCGAUCUCCACAGACGACAUCUUCUUGCCAGAAUGGGCGAAAUACAGUGCUCACACUACGCUGUAACCCUGAGAAGCCCUCUAAAGGAGAAAUAUCUGUACCCAGGGAGUGUCCUGCAGGAACCUGUGAUGGCUGCACCUUCCACUUCCUAUGGGAGAGUUCAAGUGCUUGCCCACGCUGCACUGAAGAAGACUACCACCAGAUUGAGGGAGCCUGCAAGGGAGGAGUGCAGGACACUGUGUAUGUGUGGAGUGAGCCACAGCUCUGUACAGGAGGAGUAUCUCUGCCAGCAAAGAGGAGCAAGCCGUGUGAGAUGAUCGGUUUCUGGCUGAAGGUGGGAGCUGUCGUGGGUGUGGUCAGUGCUGCCCUCCUUGUCACUCUCACAUGCCACGUUUGGAAGAAAAACAAAAAGCUGGAGUACAAGUAUUCCAAGUUGGUGAUGUCAGCCAAUAAGGAGUGUGAGUUACCAGGAGCAGACAGCUGUGCCAUCAUGGAGGGUGAGGGAGAGGAGGUGGAGGAUGAUGUAGUUUACACCAAGCCCUCUUUACUAGGCAAGCUGAAGGCCAUCGCUACCAAGAGCCAAGAACCAAGGCACUAGGCUCUGCUUGGGCCUGUUCAUGUGCAGCAGCGGGAAUUACUGUUCUCAGCUCCAGGAUAUAAACGUCUUCAUCAGAAGUCUUUGAUGGCUCCUCACCGUGUGACGCGUAGGUAGCAGGUGGACCACUGACACUGAAGCGGUUCAGGUUGAGCCGGUGACUGGUAACGUUCUUCUGUGGUUGGAACAUGAUGAUGUGGACUUUAGGAGCAAACAUGCAGCCCAGUACCACAAAACCACUGAGACUCACCGAUAUACACAUUGUGGUGGUCUGAACCUGUGGAGAGACAGUGACCGUUCACUAAAUACUUCCAACACCUUCACAGGUGGCCAUACUGGAUUAGUCAGAUACAUGGAUGUAUUAGGAGACGGAAACGGUGGUGGUGCUGCGUGACGCAGGAUUCCGCACGUCUUCCUCAUUCCGUCCUGCAUCCAAGAUGUUUGGCCGAGUGGCUUCAUCAAUCAAAGCAAGAAAACUUUACUCCCGGAAAAAGCAGCAAAUUGUGCAGUGAACAUUUUACAGAAGAUUGUUUUGUGGAGGACUUGGAUGAAAAAAAUCAGUGGGAAGAAGCAAGACACGAGACAGAAACGACAACUAAAGCCAGACGUGAUCCCGACUUUGUUUCACCACAAAACACCGACAGCACGACAGCAUACCGUGUCAUGCAUCAAACGGAUGGAAGAUAAGCAGCCUGGUCAUACCUCUCCAGUUUCACAAUGGUUCUACAGGCGUCAGCACUCUGUGUUACAACUCUGUGUCUCAGAGGACUAGACCCUCUUACAGAAAUGCUCUUUCCCCCACUUCAUUGACUGCAGCCUUGAAAGACCUACAGAACAGUCUGAGCAGACUGAGAAACAUCCUGCUCACAUCAGCAGGUCAUGUGUCUAUACAGCAAUGCGGAGUUAGAGAGCGUGACUUCUGACUGUGUAUGCAAUCCAUAUGAUACACGACUAAUUAUCUGGGAAAUGCUGAUGAGCUUCAUUGCUUGCAAUCAACUAAUAUUCGUUAUGAAGUGCUGACUGAUUCUGUGCUAUGUUUAUUGGGGAUUUAUAUAUCUCUCUACAUUUAUUCAGCUAAUUCCUUCCAUGCAUCCUUUGGACAUCCUGUGAUGUUAUGUUAUUGUUUAUUGACAUUGUUGACCUAUGCUUUGGAAGUACAGUUCAUUCAUUCAUUCAUUCAUCUACAGUAACUUGUUAGUUGUGGUGGAGCCUAUCCCAGGAACUCUGAGCAUGAAUGGGAUACACCCUAGAUGGUAUGGCAGUCCAUCACAGGGCAAUUGGCAAUCCAAUUUUCUGACAAUUUCAAUAGCUCCAUUUCAUUUUUUUAAACUCACUGCAACUCAGUAAUAUUUAAAUCAAUUCAGUUCAUCCCUUUUCAGUCUACAGUUAGCACAUACCCUGUAGUCACUAGACGUGACAUAGAAGAUGGGCAGGAAGGCAAGCCAGAUGAUACAAGUGGUAUACAUGGUGAAGCCGAUGAACUUGGCCUCAUUGAAGUUCUCAGGGCACUUCCGAGUCUUGAAGGCGUAGACAGUGCAGAGCACCACCAGAACAACAUCGUAGCUAAGUGACAAUAGCAUGCUGGAAUCCCGUACAUUGCAUUUCAGAAUGACUGUCUGACGCUUCUCAGGCAGGGUGAAGCGCCGAGUACCAGGCACCUCCAGCAGCAGCCACAUGGACACAAGCAGAAGCUGGACAGAGAUGAGUGCCAGGCAGAUGAAGACCUGUGAGCUAGGGCUGAUAAAUCGUGGCCGCUGUACACCACCAUCUUUCACACCAUUGAAGAUGCGGGCGAUGCGGUUGGUCUUCGUCAGCAAUGCCGAGUAGCAGACUGCAAAUGAGGUUCCAAGGCCAAGACGCCGCAAAGCACACACGGCUGGUGAGGGCUUGGCGAUGAAGACAAAAGUCAUGGAGUAGGACAUGAGGACUCCGAGAAGGAGGAUGUAGCAUAGCUCCCGGCCAGAGGCCUUGACCAGUGGUGUUUCGUUAUGGCGGAUAAAAACAGCGAAGACCAGUAAAGUACAAAUAAAGCCCACACAAGCAAUAGACACAGGCCCAAUAGCCCAGGCAUCCUCCCACAUGAUGUAGUCCUCAGGCAAGUCAUAGCAACCACUCAGGUCUGCCCGAGGCCACUGGCCCAGAGCACAGGGUGCGCAAGUGAAUUCAUCUGGCAGAUAUUCAUAGGGCUCGCAAGGGGUGCAGAUCCAGCAACAGUACUCGCCUGCUUGCAUCUUCUUCAUCUCAUUUGGAGCACAUGGGUCACUGCAUUGAGAGGUGGGAACACCUGUUCCACGUGGCCAGCCAACCAGGUACUCAUUAAGAGACAGCGUUUCUGCCCAUUCACCAACAUGGAUGUAGCCAAACCGGUCGUUACCUGGAAUUCGCUGAUAGUUGAAGAUAUUGUAUCGGCCCAUGCCAUCUCCAUAUUGAUCAAACUUUACCAUGUUUUCUGAGCCAGGAGGGGAGAAUGGAGCUACACAGAGAGAGAGAGAGAGAGAGAGAGAGAGAGAGAGAGAAAUUGAGCAACAGGAAGAAUAAUAGAAUGGAAACAUUAGGACAUAGAACUAAAUUGGAUACCAACCAUAAAUGUAACUACAAGACUGUUAAAGAAAGAGAAAAGACUGUUAGUUUAGAGUUUCUAUUUUGUAUGCUUCUUUAUUCACAAACAAAAAGAAUCACCACAAUAAGCAAAAUGUGUACUUCUGUGUCCAAUACUGACUUCAAUUAUAAUCAGUAAGCGUUACAACAUGGCUGCAGGCAUCUAAAGCAAUUAAACAGUAGGCUGCUAAAACCAUAGGGGAGCAUAAAGAACCCCCAUGGUUACACAUUCUAAACAAAAUGCCAGUAUACUGAAAUAGAACUUACUAUAAACAGCACCAUCAGCCUGUGAGAGCAAAGGCAUUCAUGGUAUAAAGGGUUUGCGAUAGACUUUACAAGUUCUUUCACUGGGUUUGACUUUAUAUGCCAUUUGGCUUACAUGGUUUAUGAAUUCUCUCCUGGUCUUGACACCCACACAAUGCCACACACAAAGGUAAGAAGUAACAUUUUUUUAAUAGUUAUAGUAUAAUAGAAGUACAAACAACAUAAAACCCAAUUACACAAACUAAGUAGGAUGCUAGAACAUUGACUAGGAUGAUCAGUGAACAUAUCCAGGUUUGCUAACAUUAGCCAGAUGUUGUACAGCACAGGAACUCCGCCCAAAUCUGCACCCCUACUUUGUAGUCAAGUCCAAAAAGAUAUUUAACAAUUAUUCCACGAAAUCGAGUCGUACAUGAGGGUCAUUCUACAGAAACGUCCACUUUUCUGUCCCUAGACUUAACAGGGCAGUUGCUUUAAAAAAAAAAAAUGUAA